rnacentral:tRNA from 2 species
UGUAGUUUAAUGUAUUGAUGCAUGUUGAAUUUUGAUUUCAUUAGUUUCAGUUUAAUUCUGAAUUCUACAA